rnacentral:rRNA from 1 species
GCAAGUCGAGCGGUAACAGGUCUAGCUUGCUAGAUGCUGACGAGCGGCGGACGGGUGAGUAACGCGUAGGAAUCUGCCUAGUAGAGGGGGACAACAUGUGGAAACGCAUGCUAAUACCGCAUACGCCCUGAGGGGGAAAGGAGGGGAUCACUUGUGACCUUCCGCUAUUAGAUGAGCCUGCGUGAGAUUAGCUAGUUGGUAGGGUAAAGGCCUACCAAGGCGACGAUCUCUAACUGGUCUGAGAGGAUGACC